rnacentral:rRNA from 2 species
GGUUAAGCGACUAAGCGUACACGGUGGAUGCCCUGGCAGUCAGAGGCGAUGAAGGGCGUGCUAAUCUGCGAUAAGCGCCGGUAAGGUGAUAUGAACCGUUAUAACCGGCGAUACCCGAAUGGGGAAACCCAGUGUGAUUCGUCACACUAUCAUUAACUGAAUCCAUAGGUUAAUGAGG